CCGUGCUAUCUAUUCCCUAAAUCUUCAAAAUAUCACCACUUUAGAAUUACAAGGAAAAUAUAAGUAAAGAACUGAGUGAUACUAGAACCAAUAGCAUAAUGUUGAACCUUUGAAAGACAGGGAUGGUAAGAAUGUGAUGCUGAGUCAAAGUACUGGAAGUGAAAUUGGCAUAUGAUUCAAGAUACUGUAAAUCUUCAAUACCAAACUGUAAACCCUAAUAACAAAUAUGUCUUCUCUCUGAUGUUUCCCACAAGGUAGGCUGACAUUCAACUUAUUUCAGCCAUUGAGGUCAGCUGGAGAUCCUGACCAGCGUUAGUGACCUGCUGUCCCUGCUGUGGCCCUGUGUCUGGAGGUGAUCCAAGGAGACCCCGUUCAUCAUUUCUCUCUGCACCUACACCUCAUUUCAGCAUAAUCAAGACCAACUUAGAAAGGUUAGCUGUGGUCAGAAGAAAUUUAUGAAGAGUGGCUAUUAAGAGAUAGAGCACAUGUAUGCAGACUGUGUUUAAUAAUGUGGCUAUUCAGCUGCGUUCAUGUGACUCACGAGUGACCUAAGCAGUUUCUUCACAAAGCACACAUGGAGAGCACAGACACAGAGGCAAGUUGGGGGAGAGCCCUGGCAGGUAAAUUUUCUGCGCUCAGUGACCUGGGAACAGGAAUGAAAAAUCCUAUUGCUCUUUUGGGAGAAAGGCUAAAAUUCACAGUGUUGCUUAGCUUGUCGGCAAUCCUUGCUCAGGACAUUUUGAUUGCUGAGG